rnacentral:tRNA from 2 species
GGGGCUGUAGCUCAGUUGCGUAGAGCGUCACUCUGUCACAGUGAAGGAUCGCGGGUUCGAGUCCCGUCAGCCUCG